CAAAUGAAUUGACGGGGGCCCGCACAAGCGGUGGAGCAUGUGGUUUAAUUCGAUGCAACGCGAAGAACCUUACCUGGUCUUGACAUCCACAGAACUUUCCAGAGAUGGAUUGGUGCCUUCGGGAACUGUGAGACAGGUGCUGCAUGGCUGUCGUCAGCUCGUGUUGUGAAAUGUUGGGUUAAGUCCCGCAACGAGCGCAACCCUUAUCCUUUGUUGCCAGCGGUCCGGCCGGGAACUCAAAGGAGACUGCCAGUGAUAAACUGGAGGAAGGUGGGGAUGACGUCAAGUCAUCAUGGCCCUUACGACCAGGGCUACACACGUGCUACAAUGGCGCAUACAAAGAGAAGCGACCUCGCGAGAGCAAGCGGACCUCAUAAAGUGCGUCGUAGUCCGGAUUGGAGUC
rnacentral:rRNA from 1 species